UGCCCCAGGCCUAGGAAACCUCUCGCCCACAGAUCCUGGUGGGAAGCCCUCACACUAGCCCAACCUUGAGAAUCCCGUGGAGAUUCUGCUCUGAUUGGGUCUCUGUUGUAAACCUGGCUGUGGACUCCAGAUCCCAGGCAAGAGGAAGUCUGCACUGCAUGCCAGGAAACGGACCCGCUCACGGGCUGGGCGGUCCCGGGGCAGAAAAACCAUCGCUGGUUCUGCGAUCUGUGGAAUAGCAGAGAACUGGAAGCAGCCCGAGUGUCCUCGAAAGGGUCAAGACAUCAGCCAGAAACAGGAACAAGUAUUCGUCAGUCUAGGCUGUGAGGGACAGCCAGGGAAGGCGGCAAAUACAGAGAAAAACUGGAAGGUGUGGGAUUGUUGGAGGAGGUGUCCAUACCUGGCCCAAUCUUGAAGUCUCCAUCUUGCAGCUGCCUGGAGUGUCUAUGAGAGAUCAGCAGGACCUGGGCACACACAGAGAAAGGGCCCUAUGAGGGUACAAAAGGAAGACGGCCGUCUAUCCACAUCCAGUAAGAGGGACCCAGGAGGGAAGAAACAAGCCCCGGAGUCUCUUCAAUCUGUUCUGGGUCAUUCAGCCUUCAACACAGCGACAGAAUCAGCUUCCUUUGUUCAUGCUACCCACUCUGGGGUCAGGAAAGUCUCCUAAUUCCAGACAUUCUAAUUUUCAUUAGCAACAAAGACAGCAGAAAUACGGAUGGUCUCGUGCCAAUGUGUUUGAUGUGUGGGAU